AUACAAAAUUGACUUUUGUGAGACAAAAUUGAAUUUUGUCUCACAAAAGUCAAUUUUGUCUCACAAAAGUCAAUUUUGUCUCACAAAAUU
rnacentral:sRNA from 1 species